AUGACACCACUCCAAUACCAAACGACACCGUAUGGGAUCCCGUGUAAGUAAGAAAAACCGUCAGAGGGUCCCACUCACGCACGACGUGGUAUGAUAUAUUCUCGCAGCUCCACCACCAAACUUAGAGCCGAGGUUCUGAUCGCUCACACCACGCUUGAGAAGCCACACCGCCACACGACGUCGUCGUCCUUCCUUCUCUCUCCCUCCUCCUCCUCUUCUCUCUUUCUUCUGGUAAUGUCCUUUCAUGUCCUCCUGCUCUCCCCCGCUCUCUCUCUUCUCUCUCAGUCUCUCUCUGUAAAUGCUUGGAUUGCGUCCACAUUUAUUCUGCUAUUUUCUCACUAUUUUUUCUCUGAGGUUUUUUUUAAUUUUUUAGUCUGUUCGUCAUUGCUUUCUGUCUAAUCUGGUCUAGGGUUUCAGUAAAAAUUUCUCGAGAAUUUUAUUGUAAUUGUUUGUUUUUCGCGCUAAUUUUUGCAAAUUUAAUCGUGAAAGUACUUUUCUGUAAGAAUAAAUGCCGUUUUAGUGAUUAGGAAGAGUUGCAUGAUAUUAAUUACAUUUUAGUGAUUAGUGUUUUCGGAAUUCAGGGUAUGUAGUUUGAGAAAAUUUUGUACUUGCUAGGCUAGGGUUUAGUGAGAGAGGUGGAGAAAGAGAGGAAUCUGUGUAUGGUAUGAACUUUUUGAUGGAAUCGGAGUGGUGUAUAAACUGCAUUACCAAUUUAGGAUACAUUUUUUUGGGAAUAUGUUCGUAGUUGUACCUUCGUUGCUGUAAUACAUUGUGUUUAAUUAUGGUGAAAAUUUGAACUAGACAUGCGUCACUGCAAGGAAUUAUAUAUCGCUCAAAGUACUGUGUUUUGGUUGCUAUGAUUACCUGAGAAAGGGAUAGUUAUGGUUGCUCUGAAUAGUGAAUUUGGCAGCCUUUUGCCAAGAACACCAAUGGAGUCAGACGAGGGGCAGGAUUCUUUUUGCGGGGUAUAUCCUGAAUACGGUGCAAUUUUCAUGUCGAGCAGUGCAAUGAAAGAUGAAUGUUUUAAACGGGGACUGUUUGGCCUUCCAUCUUCACAAGGCCAAUUUGUAAAGCAGGUUAAAACUGGAAUGAUACUAUUUCUGUUUGAAUACGAGAGGAGAGAACUUCAUGGUGUUUUUCAAGCAUGCUCUGACGGUGAAAUGAAUAAUUCGCCUUCUGCAUACAAUUCAUCAGGAAAGCAGUUUCCUGCUCAGGUAAAAGUCAAGCCAAUUUGGCGUUGUCAUCCGCUGUCAGAACCUGAAUUCAGUGGCGUGAUCAAAGAUAACUAUUUUUCAAAUUGGAAGUUCCAUUUCGGUCUCUCCAAAGCUCAGGUCCGAAGGCUUUUAAUGUUGUUCAGUUCACAAAAGUUAGUAUAUCAGCCGUGGCAGAGAGAAUUAGCCAGUAAAAGAGAACCGAUAUCAGUAGACACUGCUGGUAGAGUCAAGGAAGUCGAUGAUGGCAGGUCUGUAUUGAGUGAUAACGUAAACAACAAGCUUGAUGCUGACAAUCAUAAUGGGCCAGCAAUGACUCAGUCACCGGGGAAUGUCUAUGAGAAUAAUGGAAAAGAAGAUGGUGGCAUGUUGGCAAGUGAUAAAGUGGGUGAUCUUCAUAAAGUAGACAAGAAGGUUGGGGAGAUCAUGCAGAGUGAGUAUCUUGGGCCCAUUCCAGGUGAAGUUGGGAAAUUGCAUGCUGCUUUUGCAAUGUCUGAGAGGGCAGGGAAUAAAUUUAAUGUGGAUGUUGAAUCCGUGUCAUCUGAGCAUCCUAUGUCGGGUCAAUCUGGAAGAGGUGACAACAACCUGGUAAUCCAUGACGAUUCCAGCCGUUUAAUGGGCAAUCAAUUACAAAUUGGCAGUAGUGAAGGUAAUGUUUUUGGGCCAGUUGGACCAACUGAGAACCCUGCUUUCUUUCAGUCUAGUCUUGAUAGACCUGUCUGUCCUGGCAUGCCUGUUGAAGAAACAGGUUCUUUGAUUCAAGAUCAAACUAAAUCAACUUCGACUGUUGGCCUGCAAAUCACUAGCCAUUCUUGUUCAGCAUCUCCAUCUUAUAGAGAUGCAAUUGUCCCUGCCACUCUUCCCUACGAUCCUGAUGCUCUUAGUCUGAACAAUUCACUCUCACCAUCAAUUGGGAUCAAUCAGCGUUCAAAUUCCGUUCAAGAUUGUUAUAAACAACAUGGCAUUCCUUCCAUUACAAAUCAAUCAUAUACAGGGUCAAAAGGAAUCAGUCAAAGCCUAGAAUCCACUUCCAAGUUUGAUGUUCAUGUUCCAAUCGCAUCCCCUGACCAUUACGAGCACUCAUGUCAGGGGAACAUCGUGCAUUUUCCAGAGGUGGCAUAUUCUGAAGAAAUGGCUGUAGAUUCUUCUGGAAAACAGUGUUCCCGGGAGCCAGUUUUGAAGAAUUCUUUAUCAACUGAAAGUUUAUCCCAAAUUGGAAGUAGUGAGAGGGAAACCAAGAGCCCUUCAUCUUAUUCUCUCAGUCCUAGUAACUGUCUGUCCUUUGUGAUUGAUCGUGCUCAUCAUGUAGCAUUACAAGAAAAACUUGAGCAAGAAAUGGCACAGAAAUUGAAUGAUGAACCAUGUACUGCUUAUGUAACUUCAUCAGAUGAGCUUCAGUGCCAGUUGCAAUGUAGUGUUCAUCCUGAUGAUCAUAGCAGCGUGGACCACCGUGAUCAGAAAUCUUUUAAUCAUGAUCUCAAGUCUUAUGCAUGUUCUGAAGGAAUGUGUUCUGAUCUGAAGAAUCAAAGAAGUGUAUUUUCUUGCUUGACUUCAGAUACGCCUGGAAAAGAGAAUAGUACGCAUGCUGACUACGAGGAAACUGAUAAUGAUGCAUCAGUGGAUGAAGUCAUGGCAAUGUUGAGUGCGAGUAACUACAGCUGGGUGAAGUCAAAAAAAUCUAAACGACCUACUAGAUUGCACGAUGACGAGAAGUUUAGGAGUAAUAAAAAGACCAAAGUGGACUCUGAGUUGGAUAGUAAUGACUUGGAGUCAAACAUGGCUUCUACUACACGCGUUGAAGAUAAAGUUGAUCAAAGGCGUGAAGAGAUACCAUUUGUGGAUUUCAAGAGGCGGAGUGAACUGCUGAAACGUAAUGAUGAUACCAAUGCUAGAGCGAAGGAUGAAAUUGCAGGAAAAUAUAGACUGUUGGGUGGGCAAUGCAAGAGAAGGAAGUUGAUCAGGCCGAAGUUCAAUGACAAUGAGCAACGCGAUGAAAAAAGCAUAAAUGGAAACAUAUCUCUGAAUUUACAAGCAUCAUCACAAGAAUCUUCUGUUAGUGAAGAUGUUAAUGGAAAGAGAAGGAAGCUGGUUAGACCAAAGUUCAGGUUGAAUGAGCCAUGUGAUGACAAAAGCAUGAAUGGAAACACUUCUAAGAUUUUACAAGUGUCAUCUCAAAUAUGUUCAACUAGUGAAGAAAGUGGAAGUUGCGAGGCUUCUAUUGGAAGCCAAGGUAUGUUGUUACCGCAAGGUACCGAUUUGUCGCUUGUGGUGUGUCAGAGCAGUCAUGAGAAUGCGAAUAAUCAAACUGGAAGAUCUUCAAAAUAUGAAAGAGAAAUUGAAGUUGAAAGCUCUGCGGCAUCAGUCAACUUUGGAGAUGAAGGUCGAAAAGAGCCUCUUUGUGAUGUUGGCAGCCAAAUUGCUGACCUUGCAAUCCCUAAGUUGUUACUGCAAUGUACAGAAUCAUCUCAAGUGGUUCAUGAAGACCUAAAAGAGCUUCUUCUUGACGUUGGUAGCCAAAUUGCUAACCUUGCAAUUCCUAAGUUGUUACCGCAAUGUAAAGAAUCGCCUCAAGUGGUUCAUCAAACCAGUCGUGAAAAUGAGAAUAUUGAAAUGGAAAGAUUUCCAGAAUACGAGCAGGAUAUUAAAACUGAAAUUUCCGGGCCAUCUCUCAAAGUUGGAGAUGAAGGUGGAAUGGAGCCUCUUCAUGAUCUUGACAGCCUUGCAAUCCCAUAUGGAGACAAAAAAUCUAAUGUUCAGAAAGACUCAGAUUAUAAGGUUCCUAUUGUGAACAAAUCAUCUCCAGAUUGUAAUGAUAACAGGCACAUCACUGUUCAGAUGUCUGCCCUGCGAUUACCUGAAGCAAAUUCUGGAACUGAAAAUGCAUUUUAUGCAAUGGAAUGUGCAAAAGGCAAUGAAUUGGAGUUGCUUCCAAUAGUAGAACUUUGUGCGGAAAGUGGUGAUCUUAGCAUCAGUAAUGUAAUAGACAGCUCAAGGAAUCUAAACUCUGAGUUGCAAGGAGGAGCCAAAGAAGUUGCUAUUUGUGUAGAUUCUGGUGUUGGUGAUAACCAUCCUGAAUCCAGUAAUAAACAGUACGAGGCAUCUCUUGACACCAUGGGUUGCUUGGACAAGCAAGAACCAUCUCAAGAGCACAGAUCCAGGAAAUUGUCUGCGGCAUCUUUUGGCACUGUUGGUUGCUUCACAAAGCCAGAAUCUUCUCUAGAAUUUCGGGACCUGAAUAUGGGAUUUGGAGAGCGACUCUUUAUACUUAGUAAUAGUUUCAAAAGCUCUGAUGUUAAUCCUUCCAAGCAUGUGGAUGAAAGGAGGGAUGCUCUUCAAAUCAGCGGUAGUAAUGUUUGCAAUUGUUCUGACAUUCGUACUUCUGAGAAUGUGGAAGAUACAAUUAGCAAGGAUCUUGUUCCAAGCAGAAAAUGUGAGCUCAAGUCAGCCAACAUCCACUCUGAUAUUAAUAGUUCUAAGCAUGUGGGCGAUGCUCAUGAUUCUUUUCCAAUCAGCGGUAGUAAUGUUUGCAAAAGCUUUGGCACCUCUGGCAAUGUGGAAGAGAGAAAGGAUGUUCUUACAAGCAGCUGUGGAAUUAGAAAACGUGUCCUCAAGAGAGCAAUCAACCGCUCUAAAUUUGAUACUUCUAAGCAUGUGGAAGAUGUGAAGGAUGUUCAUCCAAUCAGCGACAGUAAUGUUAACAAAAGCUUUGGUACUUCUGAGAAUAUGGAAGAGAGGAAGGUUGUUUUUCCAAGCAGGGUUAUAAUUAGAAAACGUGUACUCAAGAUAGCCGACAGCGGCUCUAAAAUUGAUACUUCUAAGCAUUUGGACAAUGCAAAGGAUUUUCUCCCAAUCAGCGGCAGUAAUUCCUGCAAAAGCUCAGACAGUGCGACCUCUGAGAGUGUGGAAGAAAAGAAGGAUGUUCUUAAAAGCAACGUUGAAAUCAGAAAAGGUGAACUCAAGAAAGCAUGCAACAAAGAUAGUUUAGCUCAUGAUUUUGAGUUUGGCGAUGAUAGUGAAACUGAUGAUAGUAAAAGAGAAAACAAGAGUCUCUGGAGUAUUCUAACGGCCAAGUUGAAGCAGUUGAAGGCGGCUCAACAAACAACAGUGACAAGGUUCUAGCUUUCGGUCGAUGCUCAAGCUCCUCAGCAUCUACUCUAGGAAAGAGAGUCAUUGCAGUUGACAGAUAGUUUUUCAAGUUUUCGUUUAGUUGAAGUUAAGGAUCAACCCGCAUUCCUGUAAAAGCCAAGUACUACGGCUUUUCAGCUUGUCGUGGUGUUACUAACCGAAGAGCUGGAAAUACACGUAUGAAAGCUGCCGCGUUCUUGAACUUCUUCCGUUAGCUGUUUUCGAGUUGCUUGCAGUGGAGUGGAAGAAUGCAACGUUUAUGCAUUUGUUUGUGAGGGUGAUGCCUUUACGUUGCACGUUGAAAAUGUGAAAAGGUGAUGACAUCCAAAUCAAUGAUCAAAUUCAGGUUUAAUUUAUGAUGUAAUUGACCAUUUGCUCAAUCCCCAUAUUUCAUUUGUACAGGGCUAGUGGCACAAGUGAUUAAAAACGUUUAUUUUUGCACAUGUCUUGUUUUCGAAUUCCUCCUCUAUAAUAUUACUUUAUAAGGUUUCGUA